ensembl:snoRNA
AUCCCUUUGUGGUUCACAAGCACGGUGAUUGGGCGAUCAGAUGAUUGUGUGAGAUGCGCCUCCUUUAACCCUUGUUAUGAGAUCAGCAGAGUACCCAUGACU